GUGCAGCAGUCGCGAAAACUCCGCAAUACGCGAAAGCGUGACGGGGCUACCCCGAGUGUCGUCCGCUGAGGACGACUUUUCCACGCUGUAAGGAGGCGUGGGAAUAAGGAGAGGGCAAGUCUGGUGUCAGCCGCCGCGGUAAUACCAGCUCUCCGAGUGGUAGGGACGAUUAUUGGGCUUAAAGCGUCCGUAGCCGGCUCAGCAAGUCUCCCGUUAAAUCCAACGAUUCAAUCGUUGGACUGCGGGAGAUACUGUUGAGCUAGGAGGCGGGAGAGGCCGACGGUAUUCCCUGAGUAGGGGUGAAAUCUUAUAAUUCCGGGAGGACCACCAGUGGCGAAGGCUGUCGGCUAGAACGCGUUCGACGGUUCGUGUGCCUCUCUGAUACCCGGGUAGUCC
rnacentral:rRNA from 1 species